rnacentral:lncRNA from 1 species
UGGUUUAAAAGUACAAAACUUAUGUAAACUAUUUAAUUAUCAUUUUGAAUGGGUUAUUCAUUUUUUUAAAUUUUAAUAUUUAAUACCUAAUUUUUUUAUUUGUUUGAUUUGAGUCGGUUAGUUAUGCUUUGACUUCAAAAUUUCAGACCAGUUCAAAAUAUUUAAGCCCAGUCAUUAUUAUUAUCGUGUAGGUUUUAUAUAAACUGAUCGGAAUCAGUAUCCGGAGCGUUACAAUCAGGCGAUGUGAGAUUCUAUAGGUGGCUCCUACGGGUUCAAGAGGUGACUCCCACCAAUCCGUUGGUGUAACAUUUUGUCCCGCAUAGCACUUAACUCUCACACUUCUGGUUGGUAGUCGGUUCUGAUACCAAUUGCAACGACCUAAUCCGCUAGUAAUAAUAAACCGUUAGGUCCAAACAACUGGCCCAAGAUGCUUAAACUUAAUUAUUUUUAUUAGCGUGUAAGUUUCAUAUAAACUGAUCGGAAUCAGUAUCUCAUCUGAUGUAGUACUAUCGGGGCGUUACAUAAACUGUCCCGAAUUAAAUAAAUUGAGAAAUCGGUUCAGAUAAGUUCUGUACAGUUUUUCCUUAGAAAAAUUCUACUUUAUGUUUUAUUAUAAAGUAUACAUCUUACACCAAAUUUUAAAAUUUUAAACUUUUUUUUGGAUUAAUCAGGGCUUUUAAACCGCUAGCGUUUAAAAUUUACAUAUAGAUUAUAUGUGUAUAAAUAGUAUUUCACUACAAUUUAAUUUUAAAACAACAAUUCUUUUUCCUUUUUGGGUGCAACAAAAUUAGUAGUAAAUGAGCUCUUGAUUUGUUCUUUUCGUCCCGACUCAAUUUUAUCUUAUUUUAUCGGAUUUGAUCCAAAAUUAUAAUUAUGAUUGGGUGAGAUUAGAUUAAAUGCUCGACACUAAUCCAAUAUAAGACCCAACCUAACUUUUUAAUAAAUUGCAAAAAUCAAAUCAAAUCAAAUCAAAUUAAGUAGCAUCAAUCUUUCGAUUAGGUGAAAAUUUAACACCUUGCGACUCUCGACAAAUAGCUUACACUAUAAAUAUGCAAAAUUCUAAAUUUCUCCGGUUAAUAAAAGAAUAAAAUAUUUUUGAGUUUUUUCUGACAAAAACCCAAAAUUUUUUUUUUUUUCCAUUUUUGUGGCCAUAUUUCCCUAGUACAAUUUUAGUACAAAUAUUAGUGGUUUUGCUGGUAUAGGCCCUAUCCUUAUUCGGACUUGCUUGAUCUAGAUUCUGAAAAAGUAAUUUUUACAGAAUUAAUUUAGUUUAGAAAAAUAAUUUUUAUUAAAAGUUGUGAAACGUUUGGCUGAAUCUGAUAGAAAAAUAUUUUUGCUGAAAUAAUUUUAGAAAGCCGUUCGUCAAUUUUUUUUUGCUGAAGUAAUUUUGUAAUACUGUUUAAUAUUGGUCAUUUUUAAAACUAAUUAAUGUUAUAUGCCCAUAUUUUAAGUUAUCCAUAACUAUUUUAUAUAACAAAAGUGUAUAAUAUCAUCUU